GUGGGGAAUAUUGGACAAUGGGCGAAAGCCUGAUCCAGCCAUGCCGCGUGUGUGAAGAAGGUCUUCGGAUUGUAAAGCACUUUAAGUUGGGAGGAAGGGCAGUAAGUUAAUACCUUGCUGUUUUGACGUUACCGACAGAAUAAGCACCGGCUAACUCUGUGCCAGCAGCCGCGGUAAUACAGAGGGUGCAAGCGUUAAUCGGAAUUACUGGGCGUAAAGCGCGCGUAGGUGGUUCGUUAAGGUGGAUGUGAAAGCCCCGGGCUCAACCUGGGAACUGCAUCCAAAACUGGCGAGCUAGAGUACGGUAGAGGGUGGUGGAAUUUCCUGUGUAGCGGUGAAAUGCGUAGAUAUAGGAAGGAACACCAGUGGCGAAGGCGACCACCUGGACUGAUACUGACACUGAGGUGCGAAAGCGUGGGGAGCAAACAGGAUUAGAUACCCGGGUAGUCC
rnacentral:rRNA from 1 species